GACGAACGCUGGCGGCGUGCCUAAUACAUGCAAGUAGAACGCACAGUUUAUACCGUAGCUUGCUACACCAUAGACUGUGAGUUGCGAACGGGUGAGUAACGCGUAGGUAACCUGCCUGGUAGCGGGGGAUAACUAUUGGAAACGAUAGCUAAUACCGCAUAAUAUUAAUUAUUGCAUGAUAAUUGAUUGAAAGAUGCAACUGCAUCACUACCAGAUGGACCUGCGUUGUAUUAGCUAGUAGGUGAGGUAACGGCUCACCUAGGCGACGAUACAUAGCCGACCUGAGAGGGUGAUCGGCCACACUGGGACUGAGACACGGCCCAGACUCCUACGGGAGGCAGCAGUAGGGAAUCUUCGGCAAGGGACGAAAGUCUGACCGAGCAACGCCGCGUGAGUGAAGAAGGUUUUCGGAUCGUAAAGCUCUGUUGUAAGAGAAGAACGGGUGUGAGAGUGGAAAGUUCACACUGUGACGGUAUCUUACCAGAAAGGGACGGCUAACUACGUG
rnacentral:rRNA from 1 species